rnacentral:rRNA from 1 species
AUUGAACGCUGGCGGCAUGCUUUACACAUGCAAGUCGAACGGUAACAGGCCGCAAGGUGCUGACGAGUGGCGAACGGGUGAGUAAUGCAUCGGAACGUGCCCAGUCGUGGGGGAUAACUACUCGAAAGAGUAGCUAAUACCGCAUACGAUCUAUGGAUGAAAGCGGGGGACCGUAAGGCCUCGCGCGAUUGGAGCGGCCGAUGUCAGAUUAGGUAGUUGGUGGGGUAAAGGCUCACCAAGCCAACGAUCUGUAGCUGGUCUGAGAGGACAACCAGCCACACUGGGACUGAGACACGGCCCAGACUCCUACGGGAGGCAGCAGUGGGGAAUUUUGGACAAUGGGCGCAAGCCUGAUCCAGCAAUGCCGCGUGCAGGAAGAAGGCCUUCAGGUUGUAAACUGCUUUUGUACGGAACGAAACGGCUCUGGUUAAUACCCGGGGCUAAUGACGGUACCGGAAGAAUAAGCACCGGCUAACUACGUG